AAAAAGCUCGUAGUUGGAUUUCUGUUGAGGACGGCCGGUCCGCAUUAUGUGCGUGUAUCUGGUGCGGCCUUGGCAUCCUCCAGGGGAACGUUCCUGCGCUUCGCUGCGUGGGACGGUAUUCUGGACUUUUACUUUGAGGAAAUUAGAGUGUUCACGGCAGGCAGUCGCCUUGAAUAUAUUAGCAUGGAAUAAUAAUAUAGGACCUUGAUUCUAUUUUGUUGGUUUCUAGAAUUUAGGUAAUGAUUAAUAGGGACAAUUGGGGGCAUUUGUAUUAACACGUCAGAGGUGGAAUUCUUGGAUUGUGUUACGACAAACUACUGCGAAAGCAUUUGCCAAGGAUGUUUUCAUUGAUCAAGAACGAAAGUAAGGGGAUCGAAGACGAUUAGAUACCGUCGUAGUCUUUACCAUAAACUAUGCCCACUAGAGAUUGGA
rnacentral:rRNA from 1 species